rnacentral:rRNA from 1 species
AUUGAACGCUGGCGGCGUGCUUAACACAUGCAAGUCGAGCGGCAGCGCGGGAGCAAUCCUGGCGGCGAGCGGCGAACGGGUGAGUAAUGCUUCGGAAUCUGCCCUUUAGUGGGGAAUAACCAGUCGAAAGACUGGCUAAUACCGCAUACGACCUACGGGUGAAAGCAGGGGAUCGCAAGACCUUGCGCUAAUGGAUGAGCCGAAGUCGGAUUAGCUAGUUGGUGAGGUAACGGCUCACCAAGGCGACGAUCCGUAGCUGGUCUGAGAGGACGACCAGCCACACUGGGACUGAGACACGGCCCAGACUCCUACGGGAGGCAGCAGUGGGGAAUAUUGGACAAUGGGGGAAACCCUGAUCCAGCGACGCCGCGUGUGUGAAGAAGGCCUGCGGGUUGUAAAGCACUUUUAGUGGGGAGGAAAACCCCUGACCUAACACGUCAGGAAUUGACUUAACCCAAAGAAAAAGCACCGGCUAACUCUGUGCCAGCCGCCGCCGUAA